GCUGAAGUGGUGGAAUUGGUAGACACGCUGGACUUAAAAUCCAGUGAGCUGUAAGGCUCGUACGGGUUCAAGUCCCGUCUUCAGUACUA
rnacentral:tRNA from 1 species